GACGAACGCUGGCGGUGCGCCUUAUGCAUGCAAGUCGAGCGAAGCUUUUCAGUAGUUUACUACAGAAAAUGACUGAGCGGCGAACGGGUGAGUAACGCGUGAGCAAUCUACCUUAGUUACAGGGAUAGCCCGAGGAAACUCGGAUUAAUACCUGAUAUUCUUUAUAUUUCGCAUGAAAUUAAAAGGAAAGGUCAGCCGAACUAAGAUGAGCUCGCGUUCUAUCAGCUAGUUGGUGAGGUAAAAGCUCACCAAGGCUACGACGGAUAGCUGGUCUGAGAGGACGAUCAGCCACACUGGGACUGAGACACGGCCCAGACUCCUACGGGAGGCUGCAGCAGGGAAUAUUGCGCAAUGAGCGAAAGCUUGACGCAGCGACACCGCGUGUGGGAUGACGGAUCUAGGUUUGUAAACCACUUUCAGGAGGGAAGAAAAUGACGGUACCUCCACAAGAAGCCCCGGCCAACUACGUG
rnacentral:rRNA from 1 species